rnacentral:rRNA from 1 species
UACGGGGGGGGCAAGCGUUGUUCGGAAUUACUGGGCGUAAAGGGCUCGUAGGCGGCCAACUAAGUCAGACGUGAAAUCCCUCGGCUUAACCGGGGAACUGCGUCUGAUACUGGAUGGCUUGAGUUCGGGAGAGGGAUGCGGAAUUCCAGGUGUAGCGGUGAAAUGCGUAGAUAUCUGGAGGAACACCGGUGGCGAAGGCGGUUCUCUGGGCCUGUACUGACGCUGAGACGCGAAAGCGUGGGGAGCAAACAGG